rnacentral:lncRNA from 1 species
GAGUGGAGGAGAUGACAAGGGCGGGAGCAGAGCAGGAGGGCCUGGGGGCAGCGUCUGCCGGCCGUGCGCACCGGACCCUGGCCGCCACGGAGGAAGUUUUGGUUCCGGGCGCCGUCGCGCUCUUACGCGCGGGCGCCUUUUCUGUGGCGUACCCAGGGGAAUUUUUAGCGUGCCGCGGUCUGGUGCAUAGGGGCGCGUGUGGGGCGCUAGCGCGUCCCGUGGCGGCGGGCCGAAUGGCCGUGUCGCCCACCCGCAGCGCUCCUUUGCCAGGGUGUGCCGACCCGGCACGCGGGCGUGUUACGUUUCGGGCUCUGAGCGGGCGGUUGCUGUGUCGGUGUGGGUUUGGCACCGGACGUAGCGGCGUGGCACUGGGCGUCGCGAUGAGGGAGAGUGGAGAAGACUUCAGAGAUUAUUGCGUUAGUGCAUU